rnacentral:lncRNA from 1 species
CUUGGAAGUGUUACCUGGAAGUAAAAAUCCCGAGCAGUAUUAGUUUUGCUUCGAAGUUCCUCCUUAAGAGCAAUUAAUUGCGCAUUAUAGAAUUGGCGCG